rnacentral:rRNA from 1 species
AACGAACGCUGGCGGCGUGGAUAAGACAUGCAAGUCGAACGCUAAUUAACGGGUAGCAAUAUUCGUUAGUUGGAGUGGCGCAAGGGUGCGUAACACGUGGGUAAUUUGCCAUAGAGUUGGGGAUAACUCGCUGAAAGGCGAGCUAAUACCGAAUACGAUCAUUGGAAGGCAUCUUUUGAUGAUUAAAGUUGGGGACCGUAAGGCCUGACGCUCUAUGAUAAGCCCGCGGCCUAUCAGCUAGUUGGUGAGGUAAUGGCUCACCAAGGCUAAGACGGGUAGCUGGUCUGAGAGGACGACCAGCCACACUGGAACUGAGACACGGUCCAGACACCUACGGGUGGCAGCAGUCGAGAAUUUUUCUCAAUGGGCGCAAGCCUGAAGGAGCGACGCCGCGUGGGGGAUGAAUGGCUUCGGCCCGUAAACCCCUGUCAUUUGCGAACAAACCUUACAUCUUAAUAGGGUGUGAGCUGAUUGUAGCGAAAGAGGAAGGGACGGCUAACUCUGUGCCAGCAGCCGCGGUAAUAC